rnacentral:rRNA from 1 species
UACGUAGGGUGCGAGCGUUAAUCGGAAUACUGGGCGUAAAGCGUGCGCAGGCGGUUUUGUAAGUCUGACGUGAAAUCCCCGGGCUCAACCUGGGAAUUGCGUUGGAGACUGCAAGGCUGGAGUCUGGCAGAGGGGGGUAGAAUUCCACGUGUAGCAGUGAAAUGCGUAGAGAUGUGGAGGAACACCAGUGGCGAAGGCGGCUCACUGGUCCGGUACUGACGC